rnacentral:rRNA from 1 species
UACGGAGGAUGCAAGCGUUAUCCGGAAUAAUUGGGCGUAAAGCGUUCGUAGGUGGUGAUGUAAGUCUGCUGUUAAAGCGUGUAGCUUAACUACAUAUAGGCGGUGGAAACUACAUGACUAGAGUGCGUUCGGGGCAGAGGGAAUUCCUGGUGUAGCGGUGAAAUGCGUAGAUAUCAGGAAGAACACCGGUGGCGAAGGCGCUCUGCUAGGCCGCAACUGACACUGAGGGACGAAAGCUAGGGGAGCGAAUGGG